rnacentral:rRNA from 1 species
GACGAACGCUGGCGGCGUGCUUAACACAUGCAAGUCGAACGGAAAGGCCCUGCUUUUGUGGGGUGCUCGAGUGGCGAACGGGUGAGUAACACGUGAGUAACCUGCCCUUGACUUUGGGAUAACUUCAGGAAACUGGGGCUAAUACCGGAUAGGAGCUCCUGCUGCAUGGUGGGGGUUGGAAAGUUUCGGCGGUUGGGGAUGGACUCGCGGCUUAUCAGCUUGUUGGUGGGGUAGUGGCUUACCGAGGCUUUGACGGGUAGCCGGCCUGAGAGGGUGACCGGCCACAUUGGGACUGAGAUACGGCCCAGACUCCUACGGGAGGCAGCAGUGGGGAAUAUUGCACAAUGGGCGGAAGCCUGAUGCAGCAACGCCGCGUGCGGGAUGACGGCCUUCGGGUUGUAAACCGCUUUCGCCUGUGACGAAGCGUGAGUGACGGUAAUGGGUAAAGAAGCACCGGCUAACUACGU